rnacentral:rRNA from 1 species
GAAACUCAAAGGAAUUGACGGGGACCCGCACAAGCAGUGGAGUAUGUGGUUUAAUUCGAAGCAACGCGAAGAACCUUACCAGGUCUUGACAUCCCUCUGACCGGUCUAGAGAUAGGCCUUUCCUUCGGGACAGAGGAGACAGGUGGUGCAUGGUUGUCGUCAGCUCGUGUCGUGAGAUGUUGGGUUAAGUCCCGCAACGAGCGCAACCCUUAUGCUUAGUUGCCAGCAGGUCAAGCUGGGCACUCUAAGCAGACUGCCGGUGACAAACCGGAGGAAGGUGGGGAUGACGUCAAAUCAUCAUGCCCCUUAUGACCUGGGCUACACACGUACUACAAUGGCCGGUACAACGGGAAGCGAAAUCGCGAGGUGGAGCCAAUCCUAGAAAAGCCGGUCUCAGUUCGGAUUGUAGGCUGCAACUCGCCUACAUGAAGUCGGAAUUGCUAGUAAUCGCGGAUCAGCAUGCCGCGGUGAAUACGUUCCCGGGUCUUGUACACACCGCCCGUCACACCACGAGAGUUUACAACACCCGAAGUCGGUGGGGUAACCCGCAAGGGAGCCAGCCGCCGAAGGUGGGGUAGAUGAUUGGGGUGAAGUCGUAACAAGGUAGCCGUAUCGGAAGGUGCGGCUGGAUCACCUCCUUU